UCGCCUGUCACACCAUAGAAGAAGAAACAUGUGCUUCUCCAGGAAAUGUUCAAUGGCUAUGUUUUUAGAUUAUCAUAACCAGCGAGCUAAUCCACGUUUUUAGCUGCUAACAAUGCUGUCACUGAACAAUUUGCGGAUUAUGUGCACUUCAGCAUUCACCUAAAUUAUUGGUGAACAGACAAUGCGUAUCUAAGGCUUCCUCUUUUUAUGCAAAACUAUGCAACAACUCGAUCACCUUCACUAGCAGUAAGGACACAAGGCACAACAACGGCAUAGAUUUCUGAUAGAUCACAGAAUGAAAGUAAGGUGAAACAUGUCAAUUCACUGGAAAGGACUUUCUGCACAGCGUCUGUAAAACUGAACUGUAGUCUGUUGAACAAACUCCAACCUUCUUCUGUUUAUAUUGUAAUUUUGUCCAGCCUCCAGAUGAGGGAGCAUCCUUCUUCCAGAUUAUGGAUUGUGACAAGACCUUUGCAAUGGAUACCCAAAGGCUGCAGAAAACAUACCUGAAGCGCCAGCGGUCUCUACACCCUGACAACUUCAGCCAGAAAACUAUGCUGUAGCUGAAGAUCAUGCACAUAAAGGAGGGGACGGAUAAUGUUUCUUAUGGAGUUGAUGGAGAUAACGAAGCACUGGAUGAGGCACAGAGCAAAGAAGAAACGGACAAGAUAGGUGCCUCUAUGAAAGAGAAAUUGAAAGACUUGACUGAACAAAUAGAUGCAUCGCUGCACAAAGGAGAGCUUCAAGCUGCCAAAGCACUUCUCGCCCAAAUGAAAUACUUUGCGAACAUCGAAGACAAGGUGAAGGAAAAACUUUCAGAGCUAAUGUAAACUUUGUUGACUUUGUUUUGAUACUUCUUGGGUCUUUUUAAAGUUGUUUUGAAUGUCUUCAAUAAUUCUAAUAAUAAAAUUAGUAUUUAUUUAUUAUGUACAGUAUUUGUUAAAGUUUCAGGUAUACUAAUAAAUGUCAAACAUUAAUAGGUUA